rnacentral:lncRNA from 1 species
AAUUCAGCUUUGCAAGUCUUAAAUGCAGGAUGUGGAGAAAUUAGAAUCCUUGUAGAUUGCUGGUGGGAAUGUGAAAUGGUACAACCCCUGUGAAAAUGUUGGCAGUUUCUCAAAAAGUUAAAUACAGAAUUGUCAAAAGACCCAGCAAUUCCAUUCAUAGGUAUACACCCAACAGAUACUCAAAUACUUACAUACGAAUGUACAUGGCAGCACUAUUCACAAUAGCCAAGAUGUGGACACAACUCAAAUGUUCAUCAACAGACGAAAGGAUAAAUAAAUUAUGGAACAUUAUUCAUCCCAAAAAAGGAAUGAAGAACUGAUACAUGCUUCAACAGGAAUGAACCUCAAAAACAUUAGGCUAAUAGAAAGAAGCCAAACAGAAAAGGUCAUACAUUAUGUGAUUCUAUUUCUAUGAAAUAUCCAGACAGUUAAAUCCAUAGGAUAGAAAGCAAAUUGGUGGUUGACAGGGGCUGAGAAGAGGAAGGAGUAACUGCUUAAUGGGUAGAAGGUUUUCUUUUGUGUGAUGAAAAUGUUUUACAAGGCCG